rnacentral:rRNA from 1 species
UUAAAUUGAAGAGUUUGAUCAUGGCUCAGAUUGAACGCUGGCGGCAGGCCUAACACAUGCAAGUCGAACGGUAACAGGAAGCAGCUUGCUGCUUCGCUGACGAGUGGCGGACGGGUGAGUAAUGUCUGGGAAACUGCCUGAUGGAGGGGGAUAACUACUGGAAACGGUGGCUAAUACCGCAUAACGUCGCAAGACCAAAGAGGGGGACCUUCGGGCCUCUUGCCAUCAGAUGUGCCCAGAUGGGAUUAGCUAGUUGGUGAGGUAACGGCUCACCAAGGCGACGAUCCCUAGCUGGUCUGAGAGGAUGACCAGCCACACUGGAACUGAGACACGGUCCAGACUCCUACGGGAGGCAGCAGUGGGGAAUAUUGCACAAUGGGCGCAAGCCUGAUGCAGCCAUGCCGCGUGUAUGAAGAAGGCCUUCGGGUUGUAAAGUACUUUCAGCGGGGAGGAAGGUGUUGUGGUUAAUAACCACAGCAAUUGACGUUACCCGCAGAAGAAGCACCGGCUAACUCCGUGCCAGCAGCCGCGGUAAUACGGAGGGUGCAAGCGUUAAUCGGAAUUACUGGGCGUAAAGCGCACGCAGGCGGUCUGUCAAGUCGGAUGUGAAAUCCCCGGGCUCAACCUGGGAACUGCAUUCGAAACUGGCAGGCUUGAGUCUUGUAGAGGGGGUAGAAUUCCAGGUGUAGCGGUGAAAUGCGUAGAGAUCUGGAGGAAUACCGGUGGCGAAGGCGGCCCCCUGGACAAAGACUGACGCUCAGGUGCGAAAGCGUGGGGAGCAAACAGGAUUAGAUACCCUGGUAGUCCACGCCGUAAACGAUGUCUACUUGGAGGUUGUGCCCUUGAGGCGUGGCUUCCGGAGCUAACGCGUUAAGUAGACCGCCUGGGGAGUACGGCCGCAAGGUUAAAACUCAAAUGAAUUGACGGGGGCCCGCACAAGCGGUGGAGCAUGUGGUUUAAUUCGAUGCAACGCGAAGAACCUUACCUGGUCUUGACAUCCACAGAACUUUCCAGAGAUGGAUUGGUGCCUUCGGGAACUGUGAGACAGGUGCUGCAUGGCUGUCGUCAGCUCGUGUUGUGAAAUGUUGGGUUAAGUCCCGCAACGAGCGCAACCCUUAUCCUUUGUUGCCAGCGGUUAGGCCGGGAACUCAAAGGAGACUGCCAGUGAUAAACUGGAGGAAGGUGGGGAUGACGUCAAGUCAUCAUGGCCCUUACGACCAGGGCUACACACGUGCUACAAUGGCGCAUACAAAGAGAAGCGACCUCGCGAGAGCAAGCGGACCUCAUAAAGUGCGUCGUAGUCCGGAUUGGAGUCUGCAACUCGACUCCAUGAAGUCGGAAUCGCUAGUAAUCGUGGAUCAGAAUGCCACGGUGAAUACGUUCCCGGGCCUUGUACACACCGCCCGUCACACCAUGGGAGUGGGUUGCAAAAGAAGUAGGUAGCUUAACCUUCGGGAGGGCGCUUACCACUUUGUGAUUCAUGACUGGGGUGAAGUCGUAACAAGGUAACCGUAGGGGAACCUGCGGUUGGAUCACCUCCUUACCUUAAAGAA